rnacentral:rRNA from 1 species
UACAGAGGCCUCGAGCGUUAGGCGGAAUCACUGGGCUUAAAGCGUGUGUAGGCGGUUGCCUAAGUACCUUGUGAAAUCCCACGGCUCAACCGUGGAACUGCUGGGUAUACUGGGUGCCUUGGGUCAUCUAGGGGCUGCCGGAACAAAUGGUGGAGCGGUGAAAUGCGUAGAUAUCAUUUGGAACGCCAACGGCGAAAGCAGGCAGCUGGGGAUGCAACGACGCUGAGACACGAAAGCCAGGGGAGCGAACGGG